UAGAAUCUACCCUGUCGAAUAAAAUUCUAGGUAGAGUUAUGAUAAUGACAUUAUCUAUCUAUGUGUCUUGACCAAAUUACGUGCCAGCAGUCGCGGUAAUACGUAAAAGACUAGUGUUAUUCAUGAUUAAUAGGUUUAAAGAGUACCUAGACGGUUAAUGAAGCCCCUAAAGGGUACAUAUUAACUAGAGUUAUAUGAAAGGGAGCUUUGAGGUACUGUUGAGUGUAGAGAUGAAAUUCGUUGAUACCAGAUGAUUGGCACGGAUCUAUGCGAAGGCAUCUCCUUAUGUAAUAACUGACGUUGAAGGACGAAGGCUUUUGAAGUGAAGAGGAUUAGAUACCCUAGUAAUCCAAGCAGAAAAUGAUGAAUGUCAUAGGUUGAAUAAUAUAUUUGGUCUAUAAAUGAAAGUGUAAGCAUUCCACCUCAAGAGUAAUUUGGCAACAUUGGAACUGAAAUCAUUAGACCGUUUCUGACACCAGUAGUGAAGUAUGUUGUUUAAUUAGACAGUCCCCAAAACACCUUACCACAACUUGAAUAUAUAUUUUAA
rnacentral:rRNA from 1 species